rnacentral:rRNA from 1 species
GAUGAACGCUGGCGGCGUGCCUAAUACAUGCAAGUCGAGCGAACAGACGAGGAGCUUGCUCCUCUGACGUUAGCGGCGGACGGGUGAGUAACACGUGGAUAACCUACCUAUAAGACUGGGAUAACUUCGGGAAACCGGAGCUAAUACCGGAUAAUAUAUUGAACCGCAUGGUUCAAUAGUGAAAGACGGUUUUGCUGUCACUUAUAGAUGGAUCCGCGCCGCAUUAGCUAGUUGGUAAGGUAACGGCUUACCAAGGCAACGAUGCGUAGCCGACCUGAGAGGGUGAUCGGCCACACUGGAACUGAGACACGGUCCAGACUCCUACGGGAGGCAGCAGUAGGGAAUCUUCCGCAAUGGGCGAAAGCCUGACGGAGCAACGCCGCGUGAGUGAUGAAGGUCUUCGGAUCGUAAAGCUCUGUUAUUAGGGAAGAACAAAUGUGUAAGAAACUAUGCACGUCUUGACGGUACCUAAACAGAAAGCCACGGCUAACUACGUG